rnacentral:tRNA from 1 species
UCUUUGCUGGGUCAUUGUAUUUGGCAGCCGUUCCUGGCGGCUGGCUGGCAGAUAACUGGCUAGGACAAGAGCGUGCCUUGUAGUGGGGGA